GGUGGCUCAGUGGCAGAGCACUUGCCUUGCAUGCAUGAGGCCCUGGGUUCGAUUCCUCAGCACCA
rfam:Dipodomys ordii contig_21905, whole genome shotgun sequence.